rnacentral:sRNA from 1 species
GAUACCAGGGUCAAAAGGUCAUACAAUGCAUGUUUGCAUGCAAUUGUAUGACCUUGGGACCCGCAAAACAUGAGAAAGUAGCCCGAAUAGGGCGGAUUUCGAAUGUUUUUAGGAUUUCGGGAGCACGAAGUGCGGAGAAAUCCGUAGGUAUC